CCUACGGGAGGCAGCAGUAAGGAAUCUUCCGCAAUGGGCGAAAGCCUGACGGAGCAACGCCGCGUGGGCGAUGAAGGCCUUCGGGUCGUAAAGCCCUUUUCUGUGGGACGAUAAUGACGGUACCACAGGAAUAAGCCAUGGCUAACUACGUGCCAGCAGCCGCGGUAAUACGUAGGUGGCUAGCGUUAUCCGGAUUCACUGGGCGUAAAGAGCGCGUAGGCGGUGUGCUAAGUUGGACGUGAAAGCCCCCGGCUUAACCGGGGGAGGUCGUCCAAUACUGGUGCACUUGAGGGUGGACGGGGAAAGCGGAAUUCCCGGUGUAGUGGUGAAAUGCGUAGAUAUCGGGAGGAACACCAGUGGCGAAGGCGGCCUUCUGGCCCGUUCCUGACGCUGAGGCGCGAAGGCUAGGGGAGCGAACAGGAUUAGAUACCCGAGUAGU
rnacentral:rRNA from 1 species